AUGUUAAUCAUGAUGUGUGAUAGUAUAAUUGUCUUUCCUUAAAAAUCAUCAAAUCCUUUCUUAAUGUUACCCAAUGAAUGUGACAGCUCAAAUUCCAGUCCAGACCUUUAUUGUUCUAAUUCUGAAGAAUUAACUCUUCAAACCUCACAAAUGUAUAUUUUAGUGGCUGAUCGUAUGCUCUUUGUACAGCACUGCUAAUGAGCAGGUCAGCAGAAAGUUGUUUGUUUUAGUUCUGUG